AGCGAGUCUGCCUUGAAGAUCGGAGUGCUUGCACUCUGUGAAACAAGAUACAGGCUAGCGGCGGACGGGUGAGUAACACGUGGGUAACCUGCCCAAGAGAUCGGGAUAACACCUGGAAACAGAUGCUAAUACCGGAUAACAACAGAUGAUGCCUAUCAACUGUUUAAAAGAUGGAUCUGCUAUCACUCUUGGAUGGACCUGCGGUGCAUUAGCUAGUUGGUAGGGUAACGGCCUACCAAGGCGAUGAUGCAUAGCCGAGUUGAGAGACUGAUCGGCCACAUUGGGACUGAGACACGGCCCAAACUCCUACGGGAGGCAGCAGUAGGGAAUCUUCCACAAUGGACGCAAGUCUGAUGGAGCAACGCCGCGUGAGUGAAGAAGGGUUUCGGCUCGUAAAGCUCUGUUGUUGGUGAAGAAGGACGGGGGUAGUAACUGACCUUUGUUUGACGGUAAUCAAUUAGAAAGUCACGGCUAACUACGUGCCAGCAGCCGCGGUAAUACGUAGGUGGCAAGCGUUGUCCGGAUUUAUUGGGCGUAAAGCGAGUGCAGGCGGUUCGAUAAGUCUGAUGUGAAAGCCUUCGGCUCAACCGGAGAAUUGCAUCAGAAACUGUCGAGCUUGAGUACAGAAGAGGAGAGUGGAACUCCAUGUGUAGCGGUGAAAUGCGUA
rnacentral:rRNA from 1 species